GAUGAAGAACGUAGCGAAAUGCGAUAAGUAGUGUGAAUUGCAGAAUUCAGUGAAUCAUCGAAUCUUUGAACGCACAUUGCGCCCCCUGGCAUUCCGGGGGGCAUGCCUGUUCGAGCGUCUCCAGGACGAAUCCUCGCGCGAGUGAACGCGCGGUCGUGGCGGAGGUGGCGUGCCCGAGCAGGGCGGCCACCGCGCUGGAAUCCAUGGGCGGACGCCUGCCGCGUGGCCGAGCGUGAUAUGACGCAUUGGCGCUCGUGCGCGGCGAGGCUGCCAGCCCUGGCCCGUCUGUCGGGCGGGGUAGAUCAACACGUGGGAACUCCUCGAAUCAGGUAGGGAUACCCGCUGAACUUAAGCAUAUCAAUAAGCGGAGGA
rnacentral:misc_RNA from 1 species